rnacentral:lncRNA from 10 species
CAAGAAAGCUCAGGCCUUUAUUUUCUUGAAGUGGGACUUGGAGCUACCUUGAGGACUAGCCACUCACUGGGCCUUGUUGCUGACUUGUGGUCACCACAAGAAGACCUGACAGGUCAGGCUGGCUGGAGACUGUGGCCCAGCUGAGAUGGAGGCCCAGCCGCUGUCUUCCCCUCACUGGCUCUGUCCCCAUUGUGGCCUGGUGCUCCCCACUGGCCCUGACGGGCAGAGAUGACCAGAGCCUGUUCCUCAAGGAGUCCCAGGGGCCAGGCAGGCUGGACAUUAAGUCCAGCAAGGUGAGGGUGGCAUGGGCCACGGUGGGAGCGCAGAAGAAGCCCCUGGGCCAGCUGGGGCCAGGAGAGCACACACUCUUGAGGGCGGAGCAGGGGCAGUAUUGGCAGACGAGAUGGUGCAGUGGGUGUGAGGCCAGGGUCCAGGAGCAGCCAGACGAGCCCAGGACAUCACAGGCAGGUGUGACGAGAGAGGAGCCACAUCCCCAGGACGCUGGGAUAUCACAGCUGUGCCCGCAGAGGGUCCUCAGUUGCCUCAGGGGUGCAAGAGGAAAAGGGGGCCGCAGCUGGAACCACGCAGGGGCCUGACUGGGUGGAGAAUGAGGGAAAGGCCAGGGCUGCCUUGAGCUUCCCCAGUGGGACCCAGCCCGGGCACCCCCACUGUGGGAGUGUGUGGUAACGGGGAGGCUGAUCCCAGUUUGGGCCUCCCCAUUUCUGUCGGGGGCCAUGAGACUCAGAAGGUUCAGGUCACCAAGGGUCAGUCCCUGUUGACAGCUGGUGAACGCCAGGCCGGGAGACAAGACCUGGGAGAGGCUGUGCCAAGGUCACCUGCAGGAUGAGGUCAGAGGCAAGGCUGGGGCUGGGUCUCCUGGCGCCAGCUCUGGGCUGUUUGGCCUCAGCCCUUGGCCCAGCACCUCUAGUCGCUGAGGGCAGCUAGGCCCAGGGGCCUCCAGGAGGCAGAAGGUGAUGGGCAGAAGGUGACGCCUGGUGACGGGCAAGGUGGACUCGCUGGAAACUCAGGGCCACACCACGCAGAAGGCCUUGUUUCAAGAGGAAAGCCAGCCAGCAAGAUGACCCCUCCUGAGCACCCUGGGAUCACCUGGUCAGAAGCAGCGCUGAUGCCUGGGACGGCAGGAGGACGAUGGGACAGUGAGGAAGAGGAG